rnacentral:rRNA from 1 species
UACGAAGGGGGCUAGAGUUGCUCGGAAUCACUGGGCGUAAAGCGCACGUAGGCGGACUCUUAAGUCGGUGGUGAAAUCCUGGAGCUCAACUCCAGAACUGCCUUCGAUACUGGGAGUCUCGAGUCCGGGAGAGGUGAGUGGAACUGCGAGUGUAGAGGUGAAAUUCGUAGAUAUUCGCAAGAACACCAGUGGCGAAGGCGGCUCACUGGCCCGGUACUGACGCUGAGGUGCGAAAGCGUGGGGAGCAAACAGG